AUAGAGGCUUCGUUAGAAGCCACAAAGUAUAUUUUAGGUAAUUCUCU
rfam:Oryzias latipes DNA, chromosome10, strain: Hd-rR.